rnacentral:rRNA from 1 species
UACGUAUGGUGCGAACGUUGUUCGGAAUCACUGGGCCUAAAGAGCGCGUAGGCGGCCAAGCAAGUCAGAUGUGAAAUACCUCGGCCUAACCGAGGAACUGCAUUUGAAACUGCAUGGCUUGAGUACAGGAGGGGAGAGUGGAAUUCCUGGUGGAGCGGUGAAAUGCGUAGAUAUCAGGAGGAACGCCGGUGGCGAAAGCGGCUCUCUGGUCUGUUACUGACGCUGAGGCGCGAAAGCUAGGGGAGCAAACGGGAUUAGAUACCCCGGUAGUCCUAGCCCUAAACGAUGGGCACUAAGUAGGGGAGGUUCCGAUAUCUUCUCUGCUGAAGCUAACGUAUUAAGUGCCCCGCCUGGGGAGUAUGGUCGCAAGGCUGAA